GAGUCGUUGGCCGAGUGGUUAAGGCGACGGACUUGAAAUCCGUUGGGUGCUCCCGCGUAGGUUCAAAUCCUGCACGACUCG
rnacentral:tRNA from 1 species